CCUANGGGUGGCAGCAGUCGGGAAUUUUGGGCAAUGGGCGAAAGCCUGACCCAGCAACGCCGCGUGAGGGAUGAAGGCCUUCGGGUCGUAAACCUCUGUCGGGAGGGAAGAAAGGUUGCCGAGCGAAUAGGUCGGCGGCUUGACGGUACCUCCAAAGGAAGCGCCGGCUAACUCCGUGCCAGCAGCCGCGGUAAUACGGAGGGCGCGAGCGUUGUUCGGAAUUACUGGGCGUAAAGCGCGUGUAGGCGGCCAGGUAAGUCGGAUGUGAAAGCCCGGGGCCCAACCCCGGAACUGCACCCGAUACUGCCCGGCUGGAGUCCCGGAGAGGAUGGCGGAAUUUCCGGUGUAGAGGUGAAAUUCGUAGAUAUCGGAAGGAACACCAGUGGCGAAGGCGGCCAUCUGGACGGUGACUGACGCUGAGACGCGAAAGCGUGGGGAGCAAACAGGAUUAGAUACCCCGNUANUC
rnacentral:rRNA from 1 species